rnacentral:rRNA from 1 species
AUGGAUCGCUACCAGCGAGUCGAGAAGCCGCGGGAGGAGGCGCCCAUCGGCGCCAACGAGAUCCGCAUCACGGCGCAGGGCCGCACCCGAAACUACAUCACCUACGCCCUCGCCCUGCUCCAGGAAGAAGCCACAGAUGAAAUUGUUAUAAAGGCUAUGGGAAGGGCUAUCAACAAGACAGUGGCCAUUGUGGAGCUUCUCAAGAGAAGGAUUGCUGGUCUCCAUCAGAAUAACUCCAUCGAAUCAAUCAAUAUAACUGACACUUGGGAGCCGUUGGAAGAAGGCCUGAAUGUACUUGAGACUACUCGCCAUGUUUCCUUGAUUACCAUUACCUUGUCAAAGAAAGAGCUGGAUACAUCGUCUCCUGGUUACCAGCUACCGAUACCAGUUGAUCAGGUCAGGCCACCAACAGAAUUUGAUCAGGAUGCAGAGGAUGUGCCAAGUGGCCGUGGAAGAGGCCGUGGUCGCCGGGGAAGGGGCAGGGGAAGAGGAGGGUUCAGUGAUGGAGGGGCAGAUUAUGAUGAUGAGAAUGGAGACAUGGAAGGUCCACAGGGAUAUCGUGGCAGAGGGAGAGGAAGGGGUAGGCGUGGGUCCUUUGGGCCUGGAAGGGGUUAUGGUGGUGAUGGCUAUGGCUAUGUAAAUGAAGAAGCUGGUGGGUAUCAUGGCAUGGAGCAUAAUGGACCUCCUGUGCAAGGAUAUGAAGGUGAUGGAGGAAGUGGCCGUGGCCGUGGCCGCGGACGCGGACGCGGACGCGGUGGGGGUCGUGGCCGUGGACCAUUCCCCCAAGGACCUCCUCAAGAGUAG